UCUCAAAUCAGGUAGGACUACCCGCUGAACUUAAGCAUAUCAAUAAGCGGAGGAAAAGAAACUAACAAGGAUUCCCCUAGUAACGGCGAGUGAAGCGGGAAGAGCUCAAAUUUAAAAUCUGGCGGUGUAUUCCGUCCGAGUUGUAGUCUAGAGAAGCAUCAUCCGCGCUGGACCAUGUACAAGUCUCUUGGAACAGAGCGUCACAGAGGGUGAGAAUCCCGUCCUUGACAUGGACUCCCAGUGCUUUGUGUUGUGCUCUCGACGAGUCGAGUUGUUUGGGAAUGCAGCUCAAAAUGGGUGGUAAAUUCCAUCUAAAGCUAAAUAUUGGCGAGAGACCGAUAGCGAACAAGUACCGUGAGGGAAAGAUGAAAAGCACUUUGGAGAGAGAGUUAAACAGUACGUGAAAUUGUUGAAAUGGAAACGCUAGAAGUCAGUCACGUCGGCUUGGGAUCAGCCUUGCAACUGCGAGGUGCACUCCCUGGUCGACGGGUCAGCACCAGUUUCGACCGCUGGAGAAAGGUCGGGGGAAUGUGGCAUCCUCGGACGUGUUUAUAGCCCUCGAUUGCAUGCAUCGGUUGGGAUUGAGGAACUCAGCGCGCCGCAAGGCCGGGUUUUCGAACCACGUCCGCGCUCUGGAUGCUGGC
rnacentral:rRNA from 1 species